rnacentral:rRNA from 1 species
UUAGUGGCGACCGGGUGCGUAACACGUAGCUGACCUGCCCCUCAGCGGGGACAACAGAGCGAAAGCUUUGCUAAUACCGCAUACGCUUGGGAUGACUAGAAGGUUCCAAGGAAACUUACGGGGUUGAGGGAGGGAGCUGCGGCCCAUCAGGUAGUUGGCGAGGUAACGGCUCACCAAGCCAGCGACGGGUAGGGGGCCUGAGAGGGUGGUCCCCCACACUGGGACUGACACACGGCCCAG